rnacentral:pre_miRNA from 1 species
UCUUAUGGAUGAGCAAAGAAAGUGGUUCUUGACAUGGAAUCUACGCCUGGUGAAAAUGCUGUGAA